rnacentral:rRNA from 1 species
AUUGAACGCUGGCGGCAGGCCUAACACAUGCAAGUCGAGCGGGGUUUUCGGACCUAGCGGCGGACGGGUGAGUAAUGCGUAGGAAGCUGCCCGAUAGAGGGGGAUACCAGUUGGAAACGACUGUUAAUACCGCAUAAUGUCUACGGACCAAAGUGUGGGACCUUCGGGCCACAUGCCAUCGGAUGCGCCUACGUGGGAUU